GUAAAAAGAGAGUAAAAAAAAAACUUUGGAGUAGGAAGGACUGAAGCAUCAGAACAGGAUGGAUGAGAAAAUAAAGUAGUAAACAUAGCAAAGGAGUCAAAGGAAAAGUAUGAACAUGCUACAGGUUUUGAAAAAAAGAGUGAAAGAAAGAGUCUAAACAUGGAGGUAGAGCGAAAUAAUAUGUCUACGCAGGGAGGUAAAGCAGAAAAAAGUGUCUAAACAGGGAGGUAAAGCAAAAGGAAGUCUGAACAGGACAGAGCAGUGAAAGGAAGAGACUUAACAAAAAACUAGAGCGAAAGAAAGUGUCUAAACAGGGAGGUAAAGCAAAAGAAAGAGUCUAACAGGGAGGUUAAGCAAAAGAAAGAGUCUAAACAGGGAGGUAGAGCAAAAGAAAGAGUCUAAACAGGGAGGCAUAGCAAAAUAAAGUGUCUUAACAGGGAGGUAGAGCAAAAGAAAGUGUCUAAACAGGGAGGUAGAGCAAAAGAAAGUGUCUAAACAGGGAGGUAGAGCAAAAGAAAGUGUCUAAACAGGGAGGUAGAGCAAAAGAAAGUGUCUAAACAGGGAGGUAGAGCAAAAGAAAGUGUCUAAACAGGGAGGUAGAGCAAAAGAAAGUGUCUAAACAGGGAGGUAGAGCAAAAGAAAGUGUCUAAACAGGGAGGUAGAGCAAAAGAAAGUGUCUAAACAGGGAGGUAGAGCAAAAGAAAGUGUCUAAACAGGGAGGUAGAGCAAAAGAAAGUGUCUAAACAGAGAGGUAGAGCAAAAGAAAGUGUCUAAACAGGGAGGUAGAGCAAAAGAAAGUGUCUAAACAGAGAGGUAGAGCAAAAGAAAGUGUCUAAACAGGGAGGUAGAGCAAAAGAAAGUGUCUAAACGGGGAGGUAAAGCAAAAGGAAGAGUCCAAACAGGGAGGUAGAGCAAACGAAAGUGUCUAAACAGGGAGGUAGAGCAAAAGAAAGUGUCUAAACAGGGAGGUAGAGCAAAAGAAAGUGUCUAAACAGGGAGGUAGAGCAAAAGGAAGUCUGAACAGGACAGAGCAGUGAAAGGAAAAGAAAAAGAAAAAGAAGGAGUGAUCAUAACAGAGAAUCAAAUGGCAGACUCUGAACAGGUAGAGCGAGGUUGGGUAGGGUGGAGAAGCAAACGGAAAAUUCUAAACAAGGUAGAAGAGUGAAGUAGGGUAAGUUAGAGUCUACAAGAAUUGAAACAGGGAGGUAAAGCGAAAGGGAAAUCUUGGAGUAGAUAUGUGGAGCAGGAAACAAGGAGAGAGAUGGGAAAAAGCAUUCAAAUACAGUAAGCUGGUAAAAUGUGAAUUCAAAUUAGAAGAACGAGUAAAAGGAGGAAAGUCAUGUUUCUGUCAGAAUUAUGUUAUUGUGCGAAACACAAACUUAUGCAAAAGCAGACAAGGCUCAAUAUAGGUCUAACAGGGUUAAGGAAGAGUUCUGGCACACAGGGUGAAGACAAUAUGUCAGCUGUUUUUAUUCCUGACAGUUUGUGCUAUCGUGGAAAUGUGAAGUGGGUCAUGACUGCAGGCUGUCUGUACAUCUCUACUCACAGCUCCUGGAGGUGCAUGAUUCACUCUGUAUGUUCAUAUGUAACUAAUUCUCUCUCUAUCUCUUUUUCUCUU